UACAGAGGGUGCAAGCGUUAAUCGGAAUUACUGGGCGUAAAGCGUGCGUAGACGGUUAUGUAAGUCGGAUGUGAAAGCCCCGGGCUCAACCUGGGAAUGGCAUUCGAGACUGCAUAGCUAGGAUGCGGAAGAGGGAAGUGGAAUUUCCGGUGUAGCGGUGAAAUGCGUAGAUAUCGGAAGGAACAUCAGUGGCGAAAGCGACUUCCUGGUCCAGCAUCGACGUUCAGGCACGAAAGCGUGGGGAGCAAACAGG
rnacentral:rRNA from 1 species